GACGAACGCUGGCGGCGUGCUUAACACAUGCAAGUCGAGCGGUAAGGCCCUUUCGGGGGUACACGAGCGGCGAACGGGUGAGUAACACGUGGGUGACCUGCCCUCAGCUCUGGGAUAAGCCUGGGAAACCGGGUCUAAUACUGGAUAUGACUCCAUGACGCAUGUUGUGGGGUGGAAAGCCUUGUGCGGCUGAGGAUGGGCCCGCGGCCUAUCAGCUUGUUGGUGGGGGAUGGCCUACCAAGGCGACGACGGGUAGCCGGCCUGAGAGGGCGACCGGCCACACUGGGACUGAGACACUGCCCAGACACCUACGGGUGGCUGCAGUCGAGAAUCUUCGGCAAUAGGCGAAAGCCUGACCGAGCGACGCCGCGUGUGGGAUGAAGG
rnacentral:rRNA from 1 species